rnacentral:rRNA from 1 species
AUUGAACGCUGGCGGCAGGCCUAACACAUGCAAGUCGAGCGGAUGACGGGAGCUUGCUCCUUGAUUCAGCGGCGGACGGGUGAGUAAUGCCUAGGAAUCUGCCUGGUAGUGGGGGACAACGUUUCGAAAGGAACGCUAAUACUGCAUACGUCCUACGGGAGAAAGCAGGGGACCUUCGGGCCUUGCGCUAUCAGAUGAGCCUAGGUCGGAUUAGCUAGUUGGUGGGGUAAUGGCUCACCAAGGCGACGAUCCGUAACUGGUCUGAGAGGAUGAUCAGUCACACUGGAACUGAGACACGGUCCAGACUCCUACGGGAGGCAGCAGUGGGGAAUAUUGGACAAUGGGCGAAAGCCUGAUCCAGCCAUGCCGCGUGUGAAGAAGGUCUUCGGAUUGUAAAGCACUUUAAGUUGGGAGGAAGGGCAGUAAGUUAAUACCUUGCUGUUUUGACGUUACCGACAGAAUAAGCACCGGCUAACUCUGUGCCAGCAGCCGCCGUAA